rnacentral:lncRNA from 1 species
GACAUGGAAAAAAGUCGAUCACUUUUUUCGAAAAAGCCGAGGAGCUUUUGUCGUGAGUAUCUUUGAGUCACAGACGGCGCCAACUGAUGGGGGUGAAACCCGACCAGUACUCCAAGACGCGCAAGCAAGCGCCAAGCGGGGAACUCCGAGGGAAACCGGACCGGAACUCAAGUGUGCAGAGCUCUGCUUCGCUAGGAAUCCUUUCGCUCCAAAUGACCUACCUUUAAUGAGUGGGGGGUGCCCUCUAUUUAUAGGGGUUCUUAUGGGGG